rnacentral:rRNA from 1 species
GAUGAACGCUGGCGCGUGCCUAACACAUGCAAGUCGAGCGAGGAACUUCGGUUCCUAGCGGCGGACGGGUGAGUAACGCGUGGGUAACCUGCCUUGUACUGGGGGAUAACAGCGAGAAAUCGUUGCUAAUACCGCAUAUGCUCUUAGUAUCGCAUGAUACAUAGAGGAAAACUCCGGUGGUACAAGAUGGACCCGCGUCGCAUUAGCUAGUUGGUGAGGUAAAAGCUCACCAAGGCGACGAUGCGUAGCCGACCUGAGAGGGUGAUCGGCCACAUUGGGACUGAGACACGGCCCAGACUCCUACGGGAGGCAGCAGUGGGGAAUAUUGCGCAAUGGGGGAAACCCUGACGCAGCAACGCCGCGUGAAUGAUGAAGGUUUUCGGAUCGUAAAGUUCUAUCAGCAGGGAUGAAUUUGUACAGUACCUGACUAAGAAGCCCCGGCUAACUACGUG